rnacentral:rRNA from 1 species
GAUGAACGCUGGCGGCGUGCCUAAUACAUGCAAGUCGAGCGAACGGACGAGAAGCUUGCUUCUCUGAUGUUAGCGGCGGACGGGUGAGUAACACGUGGAUAACCUACCUAUAAGACUGGGAUAACUUCGGGAAACCGGAGCUAAUACCGGAUGAUAUUUUGAACCGCAUGGUUCAAAAGUGAAAGACGGUCUUGCUGUCACUUAUAGAUGGAUCCGCGCUGCAUUAGCUAGUUGGUAAGGUAACGGCUUACCAAGGCAACGAUGCAUAGCCGACGUGAGAGGGUGAUCGGCCACACUGGAACUGAGACACGGUCCAGACUCCUACGGGAGGCAGCAGUAGGGAAUCUUCCGCAAUGGGCGAAAGCCUGACAGAGCGACGCCGCGUGAGUGAUAGAGGUCUUCGGAUCGUAAAACUCUGUUAUUAGGGGAGAACAUAUGUGUAAGUAACUGUGCACAUCUUGACGGUACCUAAUCAAAAAGCCACGGCUAACUACGUG